rnacentral:rRNA from 1 species
UACGUAGGGGGCAAGCGUUUGUUCGGAAUUAUUGGGCGUAAAGGGCGCGUAGGCGGCUUUGCAAGUGGCGGGUGAAAUCCCUCGGCUUAACCGAGGAACUGCCUGCCAGACUGUGAGGCUUGAGACCGGGAGAGGUGAGUGGAAUUCCCAGUGUAGCGGUGAAAUGCGUAGAUAUUGGGAGGAACACCAGUGGCGAAGGCGGCUCACUGGACCGGAACUGACGCUGAGGCGCGAAAGCGUGGGGAGCAAACAGG